rnacentral:rRNA from 1 species
GUGAGUGAUGAAGGUUUUCGGAUCGUAAAACUCUGUUGUUAGGGAAGAACAAGUACCGUUCGAAUAGGGCGGUACCUUGACGGUACCUAACCAGAAAGCCACGGCUAACUACGUGCCAGCAGCCGCGGUAAUACGUAGGUGGCAAGCGUUGUCCGGAAUUAUUGGGCGUAAAGCGCGCGCAGGCGGUUUCUUAAGUCUGAUGUGAAAGCCCCCGGCUCAACCGGGGAGGGUCAUUGGAAACUGGGGAACUUGAGUGCAGAAGAGGAGAGUGGAAUUCCACGUGUAGCGGUGAAAUGCGUAGAGAUGUGGAGGAACACCAGUGGCGAAGGCGACUCUCUGGUCUGUAACUGACGCUGAGGCGCGAAAGCGUGGGGAGCGAACAGGAUUAGAUACCCUGGUAGUCCACGCCGUAAACGAUGAGUGCUAAGUGUUAGAGGUUUCCGCCCUUUAGUGCUGCAGCAAACGCAUUAAGCACUCCGCCUGGGGAGUACGGUCGCAAGACUGAAACUCAAAGGAAAUUGACGGGGGCCCGCACAAGCGGUGGAGCAUGUGGUUUAAUUCGAAGCAACGCGAAGAACCUUACCAGGUCUUGACAUCCUCUGACAACCCUAGAGAUAGGGCUUCCCUUCG